AACUCCUUAUUUUUUUAAAAAUAACUUCUCAAUAUUUUCCUUAGACAAACACUCUCACAUGACAAGAAGUCACGUAUAGGAUGUUCAUUUCAGCCUUAUUUAUAAGAGCAAAACAUUAUUAAUCUAACUGUUCAUUAAUGAGAGAAUAGCUAAGUGAACCUUAGGGAUAUCAUGUAGAAACUAAAAGGGCAGAUCUCUAUGGCUAGCAUGAAAAGAUUUCUAAGACAGUGUAAAUGCAAAAGGUUGCUGCGUGAUAUAAUUAAGGUUAAAGUAUGAUAUAGUUUACAUUUACACAUAUGUAAUAUUGGUUAUGUGAACUGAGAAUCUGGGUUUCAAGCAGUGGAUGAAUGUGGCUUUAUUUUGUUUUUAGAUGAUGGCUCUGUCUGCAAGAAUGGAAGCAAGGAGAGCCGUUAGAAGACUAUUCCAUUAAAUAAAGAGGAGAAGCUUGGUUCCCUCACAUGGGUGUGGUGUGAAGAUUUGCUCAAAGCCAAAAGGGAACCCAGUUGACAGCUUUCUUCCUUCUUCCUG